GGAAUAUAGAACAGAUACUAUCUCUCAUAUGAAUGCCAUAGUUGAGUCAAGCAGGGGAAUCCUGUUGUGGCUCAAAUUAUGGAGAACAAGGAGCCAUCUUAAUUUUUUUCAAUUUUACAGACAUUAAUUGUUUUUAAGGGAGGCAGGAGUCAACGAUACAAGAAGUUUGUGGUAGAAAAGGGUAUUGCAGAUGAAACUUAUGAUGACAGCAAGACAGCUCGUUUUCGUGUUCAAGGGACAAGUCCUAAUAACAUGCAGGCCAUCUAAGUUGAUACAGUUUCAGGCUCUUUGAACUCUUCCUAUUGUUACAUCCUGUAAACUGGUACAUCUGUUAUCACUUGGAUUGGGAAUCUCUCCUCGAGCAGAGAUCAUGAUCUUCUUGACAGAAUGCUGGAGCUAAUAAAUAUCUACUAGUAGUAUUACCAGGAUGAGUUUUGAAUUUUGAAGCCGUCAAGAGGAAUGAUGCCACUGGGCAGCCUGCUACUGUGACUGCUGGAGGUGCUAGCACUUAGAGGAAAUGACUACGGCAAGUCAAAGAUGAGUUAUCUGGGCCAUGAUUUCAGAUUUCACUAUCUUCAUGGCGUGCAAGUGAAAACAUAAAUGUGGUAUUGCUCAUAUUUGCAUAAGAG